rnacentral:rRNA from 1 species
GACGAACGCUGGCGGCGUGCUUAACACAUGCAAGUCGAACGCUGAAGCUCAGCUUUUGUUGGGUGGAUGAGUGGCGAACGGGUGAGUAACACGUGAGUAACCUGCCCCCUUCUUUGGGAUAACGCCCGGAAACGGGUGCUAAUACUGGAUAUUCACUGGUCUUCGCAUGGGGGUUGGUGGAAAGGGUUUUUCUGGUGGGGGAUGGGCUCGCGGCCUAUCAGCUUGUUGGUGGGGUGAUGGCCUACCAAGGCUUUGACGGGUAGCCGGACUGAGAGGGUGACCGGUCACAUUGGGACUGAGAUACGGCCCAGACUCCUACGGGAGGCAGCAGUGGGGAAUAUUGCACAAUGGGCGCAAGCCUGAUGCAGCGACGCCGCGUGAGGGAUGGAGGCCUUCGGGUUGUGAACCUCUUUCGCUCAUGGUCAAGCCGCAACAAUGGUUGUGGUGAAGGUAGUGGGUAAAGAAGCGCCGGCUAACUACGUG